rnacentral:rRNA from 1 species
GGCCUAACACAUGCAAGUCGAGCGGCAGCACGGGAAGCUUGCUUCCUGGUGGCGAGCGGCGGACGGGUGAGUAAUGCAUAGAAAUCUGCCCGGUAGUGGGGGAUAACCUGGGGAAACCCAGGCUAAUACCGCAUACGUCCUACGGGAGAAAGCAGGGGAUCUUCGGACCUUGCGCUAUCGGAUGAGUCUAUGUCGGAUUAGCUUGUUGGUGAGGUAAUGGCUCACCAAGGCGACGAUCCGUAGCUGGUCUGAGAGGAUGAUCAGCCACAUCGGGACUGAGACACGGCCCGAACUCCUACGGGAGGCAGCAGUGGGGAAUAUUGGACAAUGGGCGAAAGCCUGAUCCAGCCAUGCCGCGUGUGUGAAGAAGGCCUUCGGGUUGUAAAGCACUUUCAGUGGGGAAGAAAGCCUUGGGGCUAAUACCCUCGAGGAAGGACAUCACCCACAGAAGAAGCACCGGCUAACUCCGUGCCAGCAGCCGCGGUAAUACGGAGGGUGCGAGCGUUAAUCGGAAUUACUGGGCGUAAAGCGCGCGUAGGCGGUCUGAUAAGCCGGUUGUGAAAGCCCCGGGCUCAACCUGGGAACGGCAUCCGGAACUGUCAGGCUAGAGUGCAGGAGAGGAAGGUAGAAUUCCCGGUGUAGCGGUGAAAUGCGUAGAGAUCGGGAGGAAUACCAGUGGCGAAGGCGGCCUUCUGGACUGACACUGACGCUGAGGUGCGAAAGCGUGGGUAGCAAACAGGAUUAGAUACCCUGGUAGUCCACGCCGUAAACGAUGUCGACUAGCCGUUGGGCUCCUUGAGAGCUUUGUGGCGCAGUUAACGCGAUAAGUCGACCGCCUGGGGAGUACGGCCGCAAGGUUAAAACUCA